AAGAAGUUAGUCUAAAAAAGACAAUUAAUUUCGACUUAAUAAAUUGUGAUAUGCUUCACAACUUCUUU
rnacentral:tRNA from 1 species